rfam:Trichobilharzia regenti genome assembly, scaffold: TRE_scaffold0042741
AUCCCAGUGACAAGUCCCAAAUAGGACGAAAUGCGUAUCCUGGAU